AAGAAUGUCUCAUCCUAGGAGGUCUGUGACAACUCUGUGUAGCAUGAAGAGGGGAGUGCGUUCACUCCUCCUCAGAGUGUUCUGGCAUAGAUCACACGUCUCCUAGGAGAGGUCGUAUCUUCUCUUGGUGAUAUAUGGUAUAACAAACACACGUAUAUCUGUUUGAGUCUAAGAGCCUUUUGUUUAGAUGUACCGUUAGACUCCUGGCACCAGCUUUGGGGAGUCUUCCUGAGGUCCCAGGAAGACCCCCACACACAGAUACACAUAUACACACACACACUCACACGCAUACCAAGGUAUACGUUAUAUGUUAAUGAACCUAUGCAUAUUCAUGUAACCACAAUAAAAGAGCAGUGUUACGGGGGAGCGGACGAGAGCAACUGAGGUCAAGCGAAGGAACGGCGCCUGUCCAGUUCUCUCCCGUGCACGUUAAUUUGUAAAACCUGUCUGAGUGUCAUUUAUUCCAAUCUGAGUUGAAUUACAGGAAAACUCCUUACAACAAAAACCUGCCAAAACAGUUGCAUUAGUAUUCAAAAAAAUUGUUUUGGCAGCAAAUUAUAUCCAUCCGUUAGAAUUGUUUCAACAGAAAGAAAAAUUCCAAUUUUUGGUGAAAAUCUGUGUGUAUGAACUUGUUUUGCAAGUUGUAAAAAAAAAAUCAGGGCACGUCAUCGGUGAGGAAUUACUUUUAGCUAUCUCCAACCGGCUUACUGUGAAAAUCUGGGAUGCAAUAAUGGACGACUUUUAUAAAAUACCCUUAGCCAAAUUCAAAAACUUCAACAAGGUGAUUUUCAAGGCCCUGUGUAAAAGGUGGCCUGCAAAAUAUAUUCUGGAAAAUAUGAGAUUUGAUCCAGGCCUCAACGAAAUUGUUAAAAUUUUCAUAGACCAGGCAGCCAAAAAAUCCAAGGUACGUCGAUUUUUCGCAUUUGUUAGCAGAAUGUUUUGCUGCACCAGGAGACAAAGCCUCAAGGAGGAAUCUAAUGCUAAAUCUGACCCGGAUGAGUCCAC
ensembl:lncRNA